rnacentral:sRNA from 1 species
AUUUCUGGUGCUAUAUUCUGGGUCUUGCCCCUCGUCCUGUGCUUAUCAAGUUGUCUAGGCCUCACCAGUGUCCCUACUGUACGAAAUGUGAUCCUCUUAACAGCUCUGCUCUGUUUCAGUAACUCUCUGUCCUGGUAUGGUGAGGAAUCCUACAUCCACAGCAUGGAGCCAGGGGCUAAGGUAGUGACUUGGGCCUGAGGGCAUUGGGAGGUCCCAAGGGAAAGACAAGGGUGGGAUUGGACUGAGCAGAGGUGAUCAAGGGUGAAGACGGAGUAUGUAUUGUGGCACUUGCCACCCUACUCCAUCCUUAUUAAUUCCUGUCUCUUCCCCCAACCUGUCAGUGCUUUGCAGUCCGCUCUCUGGGCUGGGUAGAGGUACCUGAAGAGGACCUGGCACCGGGGAAGAGCAGUAUUGCAGUCAAUAACUGUAUCCAGCAGCUGGCCCAGACCCGCAGCCGGAGCCAGCCUCCAGAUGGUGCCUGGGGUGAGGGCCAGAACAUGCUGAUGAUCCUGAAGAAGAAUGCCAUGAGCCUAGUGAAUCCCCUGGACCACAGUCUGAUCCACUGCCAGCCUCUGGUGCACAUCCGUGUGUGGGGCGUGGGGAGCUCCAAAGGCCGGUGAGGAUGCCUACAUCCCCCAAGCAAGAGCUACUUCUCCCUCCCUGCUGCAGGCUGUGAUCCCCACUGUGCUGAUCCCCAGUACUUGAACCCCUGGACACAGAUCCUCUGAUGUGGACCCAGGACUGCUUCCCCUGCCUGGUCCAGCCCUGGUUGGGGAGGGUGGGCCCAGCUCAGCAGGGACAGAUGGGGGAGAGUCCGAGAGGCUGGGCUGAUUCCCUUCUGUGCUCCCACAUGCUUCCGGAACAGUGACAGG